GGGCCCGUAGCUCAGCGGUUAGAGCAAACGACUCAUAAUCGUUUGGUCGCUGGUUCGAAUCCAGCCGGGCCCA
rnacentral:tRNA from 1 species